rnacentral:rRNA from 2 species
AGAAUGACUCUCGGCAACGGAUAUCUAGGCUCUUGCAUCGAUGAAGAACGUAGCGAAAUGCGAUACUUGGUGUGAAUUGCAGAAUCCCGUGAACCAUCGAGUCUUUGAACGCAAGUUGCGCCCGAAGCCAUUAGGUUGAGGGCACGUCUGCCUGGGUGUCACAGA